rnacentral:lncRNA from 1 species
CCCCAACUAAACAGUCCACUCCACCAAACCCUGCACUCCACCAAACUCCGUCCCCACCAAACCCUGCACUCCAUCAAACUCCGUCCCCAUCAAACCCUCCACUCCAUCAAACUCUGUCCCCACCAAACCCUGCACUCCAUCCAACUCUGUCCCCAUCAAACCCUCCACUCUAUCAAACUCCAUCCCCAUCAAACCCUGCACUCCAUCAAACUCUGUCCCCAUCAAACCCUCCACUUCAUCAAACUCCGUCCCCAUCAAACCCUCCACUCCAUCAAACUCUGUCCCCACCAAACCCUGCACUCCAUCCAACUCUGUCCCCAUCAAACCCUGCACUCCAUCAAACUCUGUCCCCAUCAAACCCUGCACUCCAUCAAACUCCGUCCCCAUCAAACCCUCCACUCCAUUAAACUGUCCCCAUCAAACCCUCCACUCCAUCAAACUCUGUCCCCACCAAACCCUGCACUCCAUCAAACUCCGUCCCCAUCAAACCCUCCACUCCAUCAAACUGUCCCCAUCAAACCCUCCACUCCAUCAAACUGUCCCCAUCAAACCCUCCACUCCAUCAAACUCUGUCCCCAUCAAACCCUGCACUCCAUCAAACUCCGUCCCCAUCAAACCCUCCACUCCAUCAAACUGUCCCCAUCAAACCCUCCACUCCAUCAAACUGUCCCCAUCAAACCCUCCACUCCAUCAAACUGUCCCCAUCAAACCCUUCACUCCAUCAAACUCUGUCCCCAUCAAACCCUCCACUCCAUCAAACUCUGUCCCCAUCAAACCCUACACUUCAUCAAACUCCGUCCCCAUCAAACCCUCCACUCCAUCAAACUCUGUCCCCACCAAACCCUGCACUCCAUCCAACUCUGUCCCCAUCAAACCCUGCACUCCAUCAAACUCUGUCCCCAUCAAACCCUGCACUCCAUCAAACUCCGUCCCCAUCAAACCCUCCACUCCAUCAAACUGUCCCCAUCAAACCCUCCACUCCAUCAAACUCUGUCCCCACCAAACCCUGCACUCCAUCAAACUCCGUCCCCAUCAAACCCUCCACUCCAUCAAACUGUCCCCAUCAAACCCUCCACUCCAUCAAACUGUCCCCAUCAAACCCUCCACUCCAUCAAACUGUCCCCAUCAAACCCUUCACUCCAUCAAACUCUGUCCCCAUCAAACCCUCCACUCCAUCAAACUCUGUCCCCAUCAAACCCUACACUCC